CACGCUUAGAAACAAAUUAGAUGCUUCCCGCUGUUCCCAGUAGUCCUGGUUCAUGGUUGAUAAGGCAUAAACAUGGGAUGGACCGCAUGAACAUAUGAAGGAUGAAAGUGACUACCGAGUAAUGCUCUCAGGGAAACACAAGAGCCAUCGGGAAGCUUUAAAACUCCACUUCCCUGGACAGACGGAACUUCAACAGAAAGAGCGAGCUACCAACUUGCUUUAUGAAGGUGGACCUGCACAUUCCCGGCAAUAAAGCCAGGUGAACCAAUACAUCCAGCUUACACCAUCAAGAGCUGGUGUCCACAGAAGGCCAGUGACUCAUACAACAGCACAGUAGCCCUGACAGAAAUAAGGAGACAUCCUGAGGGUGGAGUUGCUCCAAAGGUCUGAUCUGCGCCAUGAUGCUCUUUUAGGGACCAGAAAGAGUCCAUUGGUCCAGACUCCUUGACUGAGCAUGGAAACGUGGGUUUUGACAGUGGCUGGGGACACCAGGGUCCCCUUGUUUGAGGGGAAAGAUGGGCAAAUAAAUGGA